GACUGAAAAGCGAACUAUCGCGUCUAGUUUCGACCUGGAUCUUGGUGAUAAUUAACCUUCAGCCA
rnacentral:tRNA from 1 species